UAUUAAGGAUGAACUAUCCCGAACCUGAUUCCUGUAAGAUUGACAACCCUGUCGGAUCUGACUUCUGAAAU
rnacentral:snoRNA from 1 species